AGUUGGCAGUGAUGAUUGAUACACAGCUUUAGCCAGUUCUGCUUCAGAAAAUUCGUGAUCGAUAGAGCUGUUAUUUCUCUGAGCUUUUU